rnacentral:ribozyme from 12 species
UUUUUUUUUUUUUUUUUUUUUUGGGGUUUUUUUUUUUUUUUUUUGGUUUGUUGAUCGAAAAGUG